rnacentral:rRNA from 1 species
UCCAGACUCUUACGGGAGGCAGCAGUGAGGAAUAUUGGUCAAUGGGCGGGAGCCUGAACCAGCCAAGCCGCGUGAAGGAAGAAGGCGCCAGGCGUCGUAAACUUCUUUUGUCGGGGAACAAAGGGCGCCACGCGUGGCGUUGUGAGUGUACCCGAAGAAAAAGCAUCGGCUAACUCCGUGCCAGCAGCCGCGGUAAUACGGAGGAUGCGAGCGUUAUCCGGAUUUAUUGGGUUUAAAGGGUGCGUAGGCGGGCAGGAAAGCCAGGGGUAAAAGCCCGGGGCCCACCCCCGGCGAGCCGUUGAAACUGUCGGACUAGAGACGGCGAGAAGUACGCGGAAUGCGCGGUGUAGCGGUGAAAUGCAUAGAUAUCACGCAGAACUCCGAUUGCGAAGGCAGCAUACCGGCGCGCAACUGACGCUCAUGCACGAAAGCGUGGGUAUCGAACAGGAUUAGAUACCCGAGUACU